rnacentral:rRNA from 1 species
UACAGAGGAUGCAAGCGUUAUCCGGAAUGAUUGGGCGUAAAGCGUGCGUAGACGGUAGCGUAAGUCAGAUGUGAAAGCCCCGGGCUCAACCUGGGAACUGCAUUUGAGACUGCUCUGCUCGGGUGCGGAAGAGGGAAGCGGAAUUUCCGGUGUAGCGGUGAAAUGCGUAGAUAUCGGAAGGAACACCAGUGGCGAAAGCGGCUUCCUGGUCCGACACCGACGUUCAGGCACGAAAGCGUGGGGAGCAAACAGG